rnacentral:tRNA from 1 species
GGGGAUUUAGCUCAGUGGUAGAGCGCUUUCCUAGCAAGCAGAAGGGCCUGGGUUCAGUCCUCAGAUUCCUGG